ensembl:snRNA U6 U6 spliceosomal RNA
UGUUCAUUUCAGCAGCAAUAUACUAAAAUUGGAAUUAUACAGAGAAGAUAAGCAUGGCCCCUGCACUAGAAUGACAUGCAAAUUUGUAAAAAGCAUACCAUAUUUUU